rnacentral:rRNA from 1 species
UCGACGAUGAAUCUUCUAGCUUGCUAGAAGUGGAUUAGUGGCGCACGGGUGAGUAAUGCAUAGGUUAUGUGCCCUUUAGUCUGGGAUAGCCACUGGAAACGGUGAUUAAUACUGGAUACUCCCUACGGGGGAAAGUUUUUCGCUAAAGGAUCAGCCUAUGUCCUAUCAGCUUGUUGGUGAGGUAAUGGCUCACCAAGGCUAUGACGGGUAUCCGGCCUGAGAGGGUGAUCGGACACACUGGAACUGAGACACGGUCCAGACUCCUACGGGAGGCAGCAGUAGGGAAUAUUGCUCAAUGGGGGAAACCCUGAAGCAGCAACGCCGCGUGGAGGAUGAAGGUUUUAGGAUUGUAAACUCCUUUUGUUAGAGAAGAUUAUGACGGUAUCUAACGAAUAAGCACCGGCUAACUCCGUGCCAGCAGCCGCGGUAAUACGGAGGGUGCAAGCGUUACUCGGAAUCACUGGGCGUAAAGAGUGCGUAGGCGGGGUAAUAAGUCAGAUGUGAAAUCCUGUAGCUUAACUACAGAACUGCAUUUGAAACUGUUACUCUGGAGUGUGGGAGAGGUAGGUGGAAUUCUUGGUGUAGGGGUAAAAUCCGUAGAGAUCAAGAGGAAUACUCAUUGCGAAGGCGACCUGCUGGAACAUUACUGACGCUGAUGCACGAAAGCGUGGGGAGCAAACAGGAUUAGAUACCCUGGUAGUCCACGCCCUAAACGAUGGAUGCUAGUUGUUGCCUUGCUUGUCAGGGCAGUAAUGCAGCUAACGCAUUAAGCAUCCCGCCUGGGGAGUACGGUCGCAAGAUUAAAACUCAAAGGAAUAGACGGGGACCCGCACAAGCGGUGGAGCAUGUGGUUUAAUUCGAAGAUACGCGAAGAACCUUACCUAGGCUUGACAUUGAUAG